GGCUCGCCGGAAUCGUUAGUUUCCGCGGCUGAAAGAAGUUGCGACGUGCAUUGUCCGUCGGAGUGGGAAGCUUUAAAACCCGUUCGUCACUGCAAGCAGUUUGCCGAGACAACCGGUUCAAAACACAGGCCGCGGUUUGAAUUGAGAGAGUUCCGUGGACCGACUGCAAAGCCAUGGUGUUAUUCCAGCAGCUGACGGAGGCGUCGCAGCUCCCGACGCCCGGUCGCAGCGACAUGCACAACCGUGAGGCCGUCAACCGAAGCCCGAUGUCGACGGCCACCCAAUGCGCAAGCAAGCUGCAAGCGCUCUUGGCCGGCCGCAGAAAUGCACCAAGCGAUGAGCUGAGGGCUCUGUUAAGAAAAUUUAGUUGCACGCUCGAAGCAAGCAUCUCGAGGACUGUAACCUCAAUGAGCGGCACAUUCUGCGCUGCUUACGUGCAGAACUUGGUUGAGCAGCAAGGUAGAAGCAUGGAUGCUGACCUCGCUCGCAGACAGCUUCAGAUGGGCGAGAUGUUGUUCUACAAGGCUCUGGAAAGCGUGGUCGUUGAAAUGAAGCAGCAAAAGCCAGACAGCGAUCUCUCGGUUUACCUCAGCAACAGUGCUUUCCAGAGGUCACUGUUUGCGUGCUGCCUGGAGAUUGUGAUGUUCUGCUACAACUCGCAACGAGAAUUUCCCUGGAUCUUGGAGGUGUUCUGUCUGAAGCCUUACAACUUCUACAAGAUCACUGAGCCUUUGAUCCGUGCUGAGAAAAGCUUGUGGCGAGAAGUCAUCAAGCACCUCAAUCAAAUUGAGGAGCAGAUCCUGGAGUCUCUCGCCUGGAAAGACGACUCUCCACUGUGGGAUGUACUGAGCCGCUCCCAGCAGAUUGUGCCCCAGUGUAAAGAGGUGUUUCCUCAGUGGCGAAUUGAAAUGUUUGAAGAAUCUGAGAAGAAUGAUGACAAUGAAACUCUCUCUUCUGUGGCACACCUUUCGCCAAGCAGAUCACGAAGCGACCAGAGCCACUUCAGGUCAAAUGAAACAGGGAGCUCUGCUGGUAGCUGUCAUGGUGAGAGAGCAGCAAGGGUAACUGCCAGCCCUGCACCGUCAUCACCCGAGGCGUCCAAAGAUAAACCUCCACGUUGCGACUCCCUGGCACUUUUUUUUCGAAAGGUCUAUCACUUGGCGGCCGUGCGCUUCUUGGACAUGUGCGAGAGACUGGGCAUUCAGAAGGACAUCCAGCACAAGAUCUGGACCUGCUUCGAGCACUCCCUCGUGGCGCACAUCGACCUGAUGAGGGACCGGCACCUCGAUCAACUGAUCUUGUGCGCGCUCUAUGUUGGCGCCAAGGUAACCAAAUUUGCCACCAAUUUCGAGACCAUCCUAAACUGCUACAGAGAGCAGUCUCACAAGAAAAGCCACGUGUAUCGCAGUGUUUACCUGAGACGGAAUGCAGGGCAUGAGGAACGAGGCGACAUCAUCAAGUUCUACAAUGAUGUCUACGUAAGCCGGAUGGCUGAAUUUGUCAAGAGCUUCCGUUCGGGUACAAAGAUGAAUGAGAUUGUUUGCCUGACGCCCCUGCCACGUGCCAAAUACAUGCUCAGCUCGCCGAAACGCCAGGUUUCGCCCAACAUAAAGCUCUUUGUGUCACCGCUGAAGGCUGACCACUUUGCGACACCUGAGCGCCACACUUACCACUUCAACCAAAGCCCAGCCAAGGAUCUCCUGAGGAUCAAUGAAACGGUUAGGACAUGCGUAGAUGUGGCGAGGAAGCGUAUCUUUGACGGUGAUGCCUUGGAGGACGAGCCAUCUGCCAAGAAGCAGGUGUUCUUCAAGAAAAUCGAGGCAUUUGUGAGGGAUCGCCAGGGUGUCCAAAACGGAGGUUGCAGCUCAGAAAAGUAGACGACUAGGAAGCAGGAGCAACCGCUCCUGCUUCUUUCGAGUGUUGAACUUUGAAGUUGUUGCUUCUGAGCCAGGGCUGGCACCCACGAAUCACACACGAAUCACCCUUGUUGCGAGCCUCGUGCGACAUUCUUUUUUUAUUUUCUUACGUAGUCUUAGUCAAAAGGUUUGGAGCCACUGCACACGUGACAAGAUCUGUUGUCGGGUCACAUACUGGUGCCUCGUGAAGAACACUUAUUACUCAUAAACCUUGGAGAUUGACAGUCAAACUGGUACUCGUACUCUUGAGAUUGCUCAAAGCAACAAACGUCACAGAAAUUUGGCAACAGAUUCUGCCAUGGAUGCAAUGAUCUUGGAACCUUUGGCAAGCACUGUACAAGGAGCACUACAGCAUGUGCAUGGCGGGACCAGCGUGUGGAUGACCCUGCUGGAGGGGGGGAUGUUUUUGUUGGCUCUGGAAUGAGGGCUUGAUGAGCAUUCAUGUGGCGUGCAGAAACCGUUGAGCUAUAUUUUUCUUUUUUGAAUGAGGAUCUUUGAUAGGUACAAGGUAACCCGUGUGGUGUGUGUGUGUGGGUGCAUUUGGAAGUUCGCAGUUUGGUGUACUGUCCGGUGUCUUUUUUGUUUGCUGUCAGGUGUUGUUUUGACUUCAGAAUGAGGAUCUGAUAAGUAUUCAUGUCGCUCACGUGGUGUAGAGUAUAUAGCUUACUAUUAAAGGGAACACCUAAUUGGUUUUAUACACCAGUUAUAGUUUUACACCAGUUAUAUGGAACACCCAUAUAACUGGAACAUGUUUAACUUCACAGGAAAGCAAGUGCUUGAUGUGGUGUGCUUGGUAGAUGUAUAUUGGUAAAAAAUUGUUGCCAAGGUCUUCGUGUCAAAACUGAGCAAUCGCUUGUGGAGGUAGGUCAAAGCAUACGGCCGACAACGCUCUUGGCACUGCGCGAAGAUAGCGAGCUUGUCGCAGCGCUGGACACACUGUCAGUCGUAUACACUGAUGCAUUUGGUGCUGAAUCACGCGAAAUCUCUUGAAGGUGAAACCACCUCUGAAGGUUAUCACCCAAGAGUACCGUCCCAGAAUACUAAUUUGGUGUUCACUUCGACAAUUAACUUUUGCUGUACAUCGCAGCCUGUGAGCAUAUGCGUGUGUGUGUGUUUUUGCAUGCUACAUCUCAGCAAUGAGGACUCUUGUAGUUUUUGUGUUCCCCAGUGCCGUUGGUGAAGGGCCAAAGGAAAGGCCUUUCUUUGUCUUUUUUUUCUUUGUGCGAGCUGAGGUGGUGAAGGAACUAGAAAGCAGUGUUGCCUGAAAUGCAGUUGCACUACUGACUCUUGAAGUGUUAAUGCAGUGCAUUUGUGCCACCAUGCAAGCACGCAAAACUUUUCAGUUUGUACUGUUGUGCACAGGGCUACUGUUUAUGACUUUGAUCUCUUUGCAUUUGCAAUAUGUGCUCGUUGUGCAAUGUUACCUUCUUCCUGGUGGUGCGGUUGUUGGCUUUGUUAUUCGGUGAAUCUUCAAAAGAUGCGGCCAUUGAUGAUCAUUUCAACAUGCAAAGUUUUUAUCAUAAUUAAUUGAAAUGCGCUGCUUGAGAGCUUCACCUUCCCCCACUUUUUUUUUAAUGUUUAGUUUAGGACCCUGAAGUUUUUAUUGUGCGUGCAGCCUUUUUCUGCACACAGAAAAAUGUAAACUGGUGCAGCAGCACAUUCUGCUACACAUUUUGAGCCUGUAUUUCUUGAGACUGGUGCCAGGCACAUAGUUUCAGCAAAUGGUUAUGCGUAAUGAACAGGCAGAGUUCAAUUCUGCUGUUCGAAUAUGCCCCCUAAAGUAUUAAUUAAACGGUGUAUUAGUGAAAUGGGUAAUUUAUGAUAGUAUGGGCAAUUAAUGAUUUUGAUGUCUGCCAUUGCUAAGAAUCAUGGGCACAAAAAUUGUCAUUUUUUUCUCGAAUCCUCAAUUUUUAACAAUCAGACACUGCUAUCUCCAGAAUGCCCAGUAUGAGAAUAUCAGACUGUUCUGAAGCAUGCAGGACUGGAGUCGACUGUUGCUGUGUUCGAAUAGGUGCAAUCACUUUCAUGUCUUAUCAUCCGUGAUGCAGCUUACAGGCUGGUGCAUUUUCGUGUGAAGAAGAUGUUUGAUCAAUGCAUUUCAAAGGAAUGUACAAUUUUGCUUUGCAUGCAACAAUGCUCUGCUGAGCUGUAAUGAUUAAUUUUGGGUAGUUUGCUUUGAAUGAUUUAGUUUUUUCUGAUCACAUACUAUUUGCCUAGUCAUUUUUGCAUCAUCAUGGACUCCUUUGGUUCACUCCGUUUCACCUUCAUCCUGAGCGUGGACUAACACUCCACAGAAAUUCCUGUGCUGGAUGACCUGUCUGCCUUUGUUUUGAUCAUCUAUGGUUUUCUAAAAUUGUCACCCUGCGAGAGUUUCCAGAGCAGGUGAUCGGUUCUUAUGUGCCUGUCCAAAGCACUUGAAUCGAGCUGCAGUAUGAGAAUAUUGCAGAUAUUUGCAACAGUCUAAAAUGCAUGUCUUGCCCUUUUGUACAAAGUGCGAGAGUAUGCAUAUCUGUGUCACAAUUUUUGCCAUGUGAGGAGUAGUAGUACAAAGGCAGGUGGGUUCGUGCAAGGUGCUUUUGUGUUUCAAGUUUGGCUGCACACACAGCAUUUGUGCUGCAUGUGACUCUUAUGCUAUGAAAACAAAUCUUACAAGCCAGCUACAACGAAAUUUUUGACCGUGUGGAAAACCUAUUUUUCGAUAGCUCAAGUAUAGAGCAACCUCCAUGAUCUUAGGUUGGAAAUAUGAGCAGAUGCGUGCAGAAAAACUGGAAAAAAAUGAAAAAGAAAGAAAGGAAGACAAAAAAUGUAGUCAUAAUUGUGUGGAGUAACGCUUAACCCGGAAUGUAGCUCUUCAGUAUGACUUCUGAGGUUCUGAGAUUGGGUGGUGGUCAUGGAUGAAAAAUCUUGAGACGAGUUGCUGGGGGUGUACAUAAUAGACAGUUUUAGUUUAGCGUUUUUACGCUCCGCUUAGCUGCUGAGCGGAGCGGAAGCACGAAAGCGCAUGCAUCCUCCGCUUAGCCGCAAGUGGGCUAGCGGAGCGAGAGAAAUGGUCCGCUUACAAGCUGCCUAAGCGGAGCGUUGCUGCCGUAUUUCGCUAGUGAGGGUGGUCGAUGCAUGCGCCCUCUCUCGCGCUUGCAUCGAAGCACUUUGCAUCGAGGUACUAGUCGUGCGAGCGUGACUAACUUGUGUAAUACACCUUCAACUGGCUAACUUGUGUAAUAUACCUCCAACUGGUUCUUUAAGGAAAUAAAGUGAACAGCACAGCUAACAAAAACGUCGCCAGCGCAUUGGCGUCUGAAAGGAUUGGAUUCGAAAUGCAACCUCGCUGGCUAUCACGUGGCGUUCACCAAGUCGAUGCUUCAUUUUCCACUCGAUAAAAUGGACCGGUAAUGCAUUACAAGCACCCGUCUAGAUACUUCAUCGACAAAUAAGUUAUUCAUCUUACUUUGACAAAGCGGUUUUUUGUUUUUGUUUCAAUACGCUCAAUUUGGCCAGAGGGCGCUGCAACUACGAAAGGUCCAGUCCGCUACGCUACCCGCAUAACUAAAACGUGACAAUCGCCUGCCGCUCCGCUGUAGCUUAGCGGCGCAACUCGGAGCGGAGCGGACCGUAAAGACGCUCAACUAAAACACACUAAUGUCUGCUAACCACCAGGUGCACGUAAUUUGCUUGAGGGCUAUUGUAAGGCUGCAAAUGAAAAAAACAUUCAAAAGUUGCCAGUCCUGUAGCUUUGCCAAGAUUCCUUCAGUACUGUAUGUACUACUAUUUUACAAUUAAUUUUGCCGAAGUAAAAUUUCAUUGCAGUUGGCCUUUAAGACAGCUGUGGCAUUCGCUGCCACAGGUUCGACAGUUCCUUCACGGGCAAGCAAAGUUGUGUUUGAUGUUUGCUUGUUUUCGCACAGUUUUAUGGUGUGUGGUCUAAAGAGUUGCGAUUUGCUUUACAACAGUCAGCUGCCUGUUUCCAUUUGGUGCUUUGUCAUCAUUAUGUGCUGGUGUAAUUCAAGUGUUGUUUGUGCUGUGAAUAAAGGAGUAGAUAAGUGCUCUGCCUUGCCAUGGGAUGUCUAAACACAUGCGCUAUCGAUACAGGACAGGUGUGAUGCAAAUGUUCUUUCCUUUUGAAUAUGGCAUACAAGUUCUGUGGAAGCUCAAAAGGUGGAGGAGCGAAAACUACCAGAAUGUUGCAUGAAUCUACAAAGGAAACCUGACAGUUUUCUCAGAAGGAAAGCUUUGUUGUUGAAUAAUUCAUCCCAGUUAAGUAUCACACAGAUCCCUGCCCUGGGGAGCUUUUCUUCAACUGAUGACCUGUCCCAUAAAUCAACUGGCCUAAAAAUACACCCCGGAUCAUGCAGCAUUGUAUUCUAGUGGAUGCAAAUUGCAUUCCAUUUUGAAUUUUAUUCACUGCCUUUUAUGGACAGUUCACGGAACAAUAAACAG